CCCUCGAUAGCUCAGUUGGCAGAGUGGAGGACUGUAGAUGUUACAACGGUGAUCCUUAGGUCGAUGGUUCAAAUCCGGCUCGAGGGA
rnacentral:tRNA from 1 species